UAACACCUUCAACAGUAGGAUCAUUUCUAUAGGAAUCGUCACUCUUUGACUCUUCAAAAGAGCCACUGAAUCCAACUUGGUUGAUGAGCCUCAGAGCCUUUGUACCCCAGAGUGAGACCGAAGAUGUUUACCUAGCUUGGUCCACAAUCCUUAGCGGUUUGGCCAUCUACUCACAUUCUUUGUUUUGCCUAUUGCAUUGCAGCUGAAUGUCCCACUUCGGUGAGCAUUCUUCUGUGCUUAAAUAGGCGCGAUGAUCUUGGCCCAGGCUGUGCACUUCUUCGUGAAGGGACAGCCAUACUGGGUGGGUACGGACGGCAGUCUGACAAGU
rnacentral:snoRNA from 1 species